rnacentral:lncRNA from 10 species
CCACUGGACCAUAGCAGGAGUCCUAGGAAACGUCACUUUGUCCUGGCUUAUGUUAGAUCACUUGAUUAAGGUGGUGACACGAGACUGCUCCAGUUCAAGGUAUUGAAGGCAAGAAAGGUGCUUCCUACUCUUGGCAAAAAAAGGCACUGCUCAUACGCCCAGCAGACAAGCGUCUUUCUGAGGAACCAGGGGAGACAGAUUUUGAGCAAUUGAUGGAGAGGGUGUGAAACUACUCUGAGGGCACCAUGCUCUGGCAGGCUGUACUGUCCUGGAUUCUACGGAGUGGCAGCCGCUUACUAGCCAUGUGGUCUGGGGGCAGGGCUGCAUCUCCAGUCUCUGGCACAGAGGCCUUGAUAAAUAAUCAACGAAUGGAUGGAAGGACGGAUGGAUGAAAGAAUGAAAGCAAGCCCAUUUCUGACAGGCUGAAUCAAUUCCUGAGCCCAG